rnacentral:rRNA from 1 species
GGCGAACGGGUGAGUAACACGUGAGUAACCUGCCCUUGACUUUGGGAUAACUUCAGGAAACUGGGGCUAAUACCGGAUAGGAGCUCCUGCUGCAUGGUGGGGGUUGGAAAGUUUCGGCGGUUGGGGAUGGACUCGCGGCUUAUCAGCUUGUUGGUGGGGUAGUGGCUUACCAAGCUUUGACGGGUAGCCGGCCUGAGAGGGUGACCGGCCACAUUGGGACUGAGAUACGGCCCAG